GAAAGUAUACCUUUAAAUUUGGCCACAUUUGAAAUGGGCUGGACUAUGGCCUAAUGGUAUUGCUGACAGGAAAGAUAUUGUCAUUGUCAUACACAGAUAUUUAAUUUGAGGUAGACAAAGAAUCCACAAUUAUCAGGAAAGAAUGUCCAGACUCAAUGGUGAAAAGGCAACAGAACUUACCAACUAUUUAUAUAUAGCCAAAAAUGCUGUUAAUAAUCAAACUUUCUGCAAAAAUUAUGGAUAUGAAAUUAAUUAUUUUAAAGUAUUUCCUCUGCAAAAAUCUCAUAAAUAAUAAUAUAAUUCUUGUAUACUUUAUGUUUAUUAAUAUUGUAAUUGUAUUAUUACUACGAAUGUUAAUAUUAAUAAUAAACAAAAGAACCAUAGCAUUAUUGUUGCAAAAGAAUAUAGACGUAUGUAAGAUAAUAAGAUAUAUAAUUUUGUUGACUCAAAUCAGGUCUAUUAUUUUUUUAUAUAUAUAAAAUAAAAUGUAUACAUAUAUCCGAACUUUAUUUCAAUGCUUGUAAAUAAAUAUAAAAAU